GUAGUCUCGCACAGAUGCAUAUCAAUAAGCGGAGGAAAAGAAACUAACAAGGAUUCCCCUAGUAACGGCGAGUGAAGCGGGAAGAGCUCAAAUUUGAAAUCUUAAAGGGUUUCCCUUUACGAAUUGUAGUUUAAAGAAGUGUUUUCUGUUGAGGUUUUGGUAAAAGUUCUUUGGAAUAGGACAUCAUAGAGGGUGAGAAUCCCGUAUUUGACCUUUACUUUCAACUUUGUGAUACACUCUCAAAGAGUCGGAUUGUUUGGGAAUGCAGUCCAAAAUGGGUGGUAAAUUUCAUCUAAAGCUAAAUAUUGGCGAGAGACCGAUAGCGAACAAGUACCGUGAGGGAAAGAUGAAAAGAACUUUGAAAAGAGAGUUAAACAGUACGUGAAAUUGUCAAAAGGGAAGCGUUUGACACCAGUGUUGUUUUUCUGUAAAUCAAUUAAAGAACUGUUUAUGCUAAGUUGUUUAGACUUUAUCAGCUAACUGUUUAGUUUUGAGCUUUUCUUUAAUGCACUUUUCAGUUAACAAGUCAACAUCAAUUUCUUUUGCUGUAAAAAAGCUUGAGGAAGGUGGCUUGAGAUUCGUCUUAAGUGUUUAUAGCCUCUUGCCUAUGCAGUCGGAGAGAUUGAGGUCUGCAGCGUAGAUCCUUCGGGGCUAAAUGCAUUUGUGCUAAGUUAUAGCAUUUCAUAGACAACUUGUUGACUAUGAUUUGUCUUGUAGCUUACUCGCUUAUGUUAUUUUACCUACGCUUAGGAUGUUGACAGCAGUAUAGACUGU
rnacentral:rRNA from 1 species